UUCCGGUUGAUCCUGCCGGACCUGACUGCUAUCGGAUUGAUACUAAGCCAUGCGAGUCAUUGCAGCAAUGCAAGGCAGACGGCUCAGUAACGCGUAGUCAACCUAACCUAUGGACGGGAAUAACCUCGGGAAACUGAGAAUAAUGCCCGAUAGAACACUAUACCUGGAAUGGUUUGUGUUCCAAAUGAUUUAUCGCCGUAGGAUGGGACUGCGGCCUAUCAGUUUGUUGGUGAGGUAAUGGCCCACCAAGACUAUUACAGGUACGGGCUCUGAGAGGAGUAGCCCGGAGAUGGGUACUGAGACACGGACCCAGGCCCUAUGGGGCGCAGCAGGCGAGAAAACUUUGCAAUGUGCGAAAGCACGACAAGGUUAAUCCGAGUGGUUUCUGCUAAAGGAACCUUUUGUUAGUCCUAGAAACACUAACGAAUAAGGGGUGGGCAAGUUCUGGUGUCAGCCGCCGCGGUAAAACCAGCACCUCAAGUGGUCAGGAUGAUUAUUGGGCCUAAAGCAUCCGUAGCCGGCUCUGUAAGUUUUCGGUUAAAUCUGUACGCUCAACGUACAGGCUGCCGGGAAUACUGCAGAGCUAGGGAGUGGGAGAGGUAGACGGUACUCGGGAGGAAGUGGUAAAAUGCUUUGAUCUCUCGAUGACCACCUGUGGCGAAGGCGGUCUACCAGAACACGUCCGACGGUGAGGGAUGAAAGCUGGGGGAGCAAACCGGAUUAGAUACCCGGGUAGUCCCAGCUGUAAACUAUGCAAACUCAGUGAUGCAUUGGCUUGUGGCCAAUGCAGUAUUGCAGGG
rnacentral:rRNA from 1 species